GGCCCAAACUCCUACGGGAGGCAGCAGUGGGGAAUAUUGCACAAUGGGGGAAACCCUGAUGCAGCAACGCCGCGUGAAGGAAGAAGGUUUUCGGAUCGUAAACUUCUAUCAACAGGGACGAAGAAAGUGACGGUACCUGAAUAAGAAGCCCCGGCUAACUACGUGCCAGCAGCCGCGGUAAUACGUAGGGGGCAAGCGUUAUCCGGAAUUACUGGGUGUAAAGGGAGCGUAGGCGGCACGCCAAGCCAGAUGUGAAAGCCCGAGGCUUAACCUCGCGGAUUGCAUUUGGAACUGGCGAGCUAGAGUACAGGAGAGGAAAGCGGAAUUCCUAGUGUAGCGGUGAAAUGCGUAGAUAUUAGGAAGAACACCAGUGGCGAAGGCGGCUUUCUGGACUGAAACUGACGCUGAGGCUCGAAAGCGUGGGGAGCAAACAGGAUUAGAUACCCUGGUAGUCCACGCCGUAAACGAUGAGUGCUAGGUGUCGGGGAGGAAUCCUCGGUGCCGCAGCUAACGCAAUAAGCACUCCACCUGGGGAGUACGACCGCAAGGUUGAAACUCAAAGGAAUUGACGGGGGCCCGCACAAGCGGUGGAGCAUGUGGUUUAAUUCGAAGCAACGCGAAGAACCUUACCAAGGCUUGACAUCCCGAUGACCGCUCUAGAGAUAGAGCUUCUCUUCGGAGCAUCGGUGACAGGUGGUGCAUGGUUGUCGUCAGCUCGUGUCGUGAGAUGUUGGGUUAAGUCCCGCAACGAGCGCAACCCUUAUCCUUAGUAGCCAUCAUUGAGUUGGGCACUCUAGGGAGACUGCCGUGGAUAACACGGAGGAAGGUGGGGAUGACGUCAAAUCAUCAUGCCCCUUAUGUCUUGGGCUACACACGUGCUACAAUGGCUGGUAACAGAGUGAAGCGAGACGGCGACGUUAAGCAAAUCACAAAAACCCAGUCCCAGUUCGGAUUGUAGUCUGCAACUCGACUACAUGAAGCUGGAAUCGCUAGUAAUCGCGAAUCAGAAUGUCGCGGUGAAUACGUUCCCGGGCCUUGUACACACCGCCCGUCACACCAUGGGAGUUGGAAGCACCCGAAGUCGGUGACCUAACCGUAAGGAAGGAGCCGCCGAAGGUGAAGCCAGUGACUGGGGUGAAGUCGUAACAAGGUAGCCGUAUCGGAAGGUGCGGCUG
rnacentral:rRNA from 1 species